UACGGAGGGUGCAAGCGUUAUCCGGAAUCAUUGGGUUUAAAGGGUCCGCAGGCGGAUUUAUAAGUCAGUGGUGAAAGCCCGUCGCUCAACGACGGAACUGCCAUUGAUACUGUAAGUCUUGAAUUCGGUCGAAGUGGGCGGAAUAUGACAUGUAGCGGUGAAAUGCUUAGAUAUGUCAUAGAACACCGAUAGCGAAGGCAGCUCACUAGGCCUGGAUUGACGCUCAGGGACGAAAGCGUGGGGAGC
rnacentral:rRNA from 1 species